rnacentral:rRNA from 1 species
UAGGGAAUCUUCCGCAAUGGGCGAAAGCUUGACGGAGCAACGCCGCGGGAGUGAUGAAGGUCUUCGGAUCGUAAAACUCUGUUAUUAGGGAAGAACAAAUGUGUAAGUAACUAUGCACGUGUUGACGGUACCUACUCAGAAAGCCACGGCUAACUACGUGCCAGCAGCCGCGGUAAUACGUAGGUGGCAAGCGUUAACCGGAAUUAUUGGGCGUAAAGCGCGCGUAGGCGGUUUUUUAAGUCUGAUGUGAAAGCCCACGGCUCAACCGUGGAGGGUCAUUGGAAACAGGAAAACUUGAGUUCAGAAGAGGAAAGUGGAAUUCCAUGUGUAGCGGUGAAAUGCGCAGAGAUAUGGAGGAACACCAGUGGCGAAGGCGACUUUCUGGUCUGUAACUGACGCUAAUGUGCGAAAGCGUGGGUAUCAAACAGG